AUGUGAUUCAUUAUGCGAUAUGUGUUUCUUCUAAUGGUUUAUCGUAUUCAUUUUGGCGCUAAUUAAUUCAUUUACACAUAAUCUUUCCUCUAGCAGACAAAAAUUCUUGGUAUAAACAAAAAGACUACGACAAAAUCUCUCAAUUGAAUUCUCAGUCGCUUUUCCUUGUAGAUCCAUUAUCAUCAAUCGCCAACGCUCAAAAAACCAGUUCUAGCUCAGUGUAGAUUGAGCUCUGUUCACGUUCAGUUGCAAUUUCUCUGUGCAAGUUGAGUUGUGCUUUUGCGUUUCAAACAAAAGUCUGCAUUCGGAUCCAUUGCAUCGCUAUUCCUCCAAAUAGAGAGCAGCAGAAUGGUUGCGAUCCAGAUCCAAGAAAAUGUAUCAAAGUGCACCC